GAGUUUGAUCAUGGCUCAGAUUGAACGCUGGCGGCAUGCCUUACACAUGCAAGUCGAACGGCAGCAUGAUCUAGCUUGCUAGAUUGAUGGCGAGUGGCGAACGGGUGAGUAAUACAUCGGAACGUGCCCUGUAGUGGGGGAUGACUAGUCGAAAGAUUAGCUAAUACCGCAUACGACCUGAGGGUGAAAGUGGGGACCGCAAGGCCUCAUGCUAUAGGAGCGGCCGAUGUCUGAUUAGCUAGUUGGUGGGGUAAAGGCCCACCAAGGCGACGAUCAGUAGCUGGUCUGAGAGGACGAUCAGCCACACUGGGACUGAGACACGGCCCAGACUCCUACGGGAGGCAGCAGUGGGGAAUUUUGGACAAUGGGCGAAAGCCUGAUCCAGCAAUGCCGCGUGUGUGAAGAAGGCCUCGG
rnacentral:rRNA from 1 species